UACAGAGGGUGCAAGCGUUAAUCGGAAUUACUGGGCGUAAAGAGCGCGCAGGCGGUCGUUCAAGUCGCGUGUGAAAGCCCCCGGCUCAACUGGGGAGGGUCACGCGAUACUGAUCGACUCGAAGGCAGGAGAGGGAAGUGGAAUUCCCGGUGUAGUGGUGAAAUGCGUAGAUAUCGGGAGGAACACCAGUGGCGAAGGCGGUUGCCUGGAGCUUUGCUGACGCUGAUGCGCGAAAGCGUGGGGAGCGAUCCGG
rnacentral:rRNA from 1 species